CAGUCAUGCUAGUGAGGAAUCAACUUGAUGGUUUGUGGGUUCGCUCGCAUACUUUCCGGUGCACUUCCUCACUCGGCAGGUUAGCAUCAAUUUCGGUUAUCAUAAAAAAUUUAAGGGAAUGUGGCUUUUCUUCGGAAAAGUGUUAUAGACCUUGAUCUAUGUGGUGACCGGGAUUGAGGAUUGCAGCGGAUACCCUUGUGGCUUAUCACCUUGCUUCUGACGGUUGCCCCGUCUUUCGAUAGCUUGCUUAACGUUAG
rnacentral:rRNA from 1 species